CAGCAGCCGCGGGAAUACGAGGGGAGCUAGCGUUAUUCGGAAUUACUGGGCGUAAAGCGCACGUAGGCGGCUUUGUAAGUUAGAGGUGAAAGCCCAGAGCUCAACUCUGGAAUUGCCUUUAAGACUGCAUCGCUUGAAUCCAGGAGAGGUGAGUGGAAUUCCGAGUGUAGAGGUGAAAUUCGUAGAUAUUCGGAAGAACACCAGUGGCGAAGGCGGCUCACUGGACUGGUAUUGACGCUGAGGUGCGAAAGCGUGGGGAGCAAACAGGAUUAGAUACCCGUGUAGUCCCUGUCUCUUAUAC
rnacentral:rRNA from 1 species